GGACGACGCUGGCGGCGUGCUUAACACAUGCAAGUCGAGCGGAAAGGCCCUUUCGGGGGUACUCGAGCGGCGAACGGGUGAGUAACACGUGAGUAAUCUGCCCUUGGCUUUGGGAUAACUACCGGAAACGGUGGCUAAUACCGAAUACGACCACUCCUUGCAUGAGGUGGUGGUGGAAAGUCUUUUCGGCCAGGGAUGUGCUCGCGGCCUAUCAGCUUGUUGGUGGGGUAAUGGCCUACCGAGGCUUCGACGGGUAGCCGGCCUGAGAGGGUGACCGGCCACACUGGGACUGAGACACGGCCCAGACUCCUACGGGAGGCAGCAGUGGGGAAUAUUGGACAAUGGGCGGAAGCCUGAUCCAGCAACGCCGCGUGAGGGAUGACGGCCUUCGGGUUGUAAACCUCUUUCAGUACCGACGAAGCGCCGAUGAUGGUGGUGACGGUAGGUACAGAAGAAGCACCGGCCAACUACGUG
rnacentral:rRNA from 1 species